UGAUCGGGCCGGAGAAGGAGUAGCCUAUGGAAGUCUCGGUACUGCUUACAAUUCACUAGGUGACUAUCAAAAAGCCAUUGAGUACCUUGA